rnacentral:rRNA from 1 species
GACGAACGCUGGCGGCGUGCUUAACACAUGCAAGUCGAACGAGAGCGUAGAGACAGCUUGCUUUUUCUACAAUCUAGUGGCAAACGGGUGAGUAACGCGUAAACAACCUGCCCUACGGAUGGGGACAACAGCUGGAAACGCCUGCUAAUACCGAAUACGUUCCGAAAGUCGCAUGACUAUCGGAAGAAAGGAUGGCCUCUAUUUAUAAGCUAUCGCCGGAGGAGGGGUUUGCGUUUGAUUAGCGAGGUGGGGGGGUAAAGGCGCACCAAGGCGACGAUCCGGAGACGGUCAGAGAGGAAGAACGGCCAGAAUGGAACGGAAGCACGGUCCAAUCGCCUACGGGAGGCGGCAGAGGGGAAUCUUCCGGGAAGGGCGAAAGCCUGACGGAGAAACGCCGCGGGAGUGAAGACGGGCGUCGGGUUGUAAAGCUCUGUUAUACGGGACGAAUAAUCUUGUGGUUAAUACCCAUGAGAAGUGACGGUACCGUAAGAGAAAGCCACGGCUAACUACGUG